rnacentral:lncRNA from 1 species
AGAGCCCAGCAAGGAGGGCUGGGAUUCACACUGAGCACGUGUGUCUGCCUCGGCUUGGGCUGUUUUCUGGGAUGGACUACCUGAAAUUCAUCAUGUCCACAUCCAUAUGUGUGAAAGUGCAUGAGGAGGACAUGGAAUGAUGCCACAUAUCUUGCUACAAAUAUGUAUAAACAGUUGCUGAAUGUAUGCAUACAGUAUCCCUCCUCAUUGCUGGGCUGUCAGACAUGACAAUCAGAAGCAUUAGCCCAUCCAGGACAACUUCAACUCUAAAAGACACUUAGAACACCUAACAAAAACAAUUCAAGAAAAGAGAGCACAGAGCCUUGUAUGGUGGCUGGAGCAAGCCUUUGAUCUCACCUCUUGGGAGGCGGAGACAGGCAGAUCUAUUGCUCUACAAGUCAACAAUUGCAGGCUACACUAAGGAUAGAACACAUGGCGAGGAUAAUGAAAGCCAGACCUGAGCUGACUAAAGGAAGGGGUGAAAAGACGAACGCUCCGUGUUGCGUAAGCAGACAGAUCCUGGUGUGCAGCUCCACAGCACAUGCUGGCAGUGGAAUUCCUCACGGGGGAGCACCUCCCUUCCUAUCUGCAUUCAAUAAAGAUAGUUCUCCCAUCCA